rnacentral:lncRNA from 1 species
AUGAUCCUGGGGACACCAUUUACAUGGUUCUGCUUUGGAUGGGCCCUGGGAUUGUACAACAGCACUGUGCGAACUACUCAUCCCUAUUCUCCAUCCUAUUUAUGCUUGUCCAGAUUUCAGAAUUUCCGGAGACACUGGAUCAGACACACCAGAGCAGUGGCAGCAAACUUACGGCCCGUGUGUUAUUGUGUUUUUAAGACAAAAGGCGUGGUGCUGCACAUCUGUAACCCCAGGUACAACAAAGGCUGAGGUAAAAGAAUUGUGAGUUCAAGUCCAACCUGAGCAACUUAGGAGAACUUGUCUCAAAAUAAAGGGAGAAAAAGAAAACUUUUUUUAAAAGAGCUUAUCAUGAAGAACAGUUGGUGUUAGCAC